rnacentral:lncRNA from 1 species
CUCCUGUCUCUCUCUCUCUCUUCUCUCUGUCACUGUCUUUCUGUCUCUCUCUUCUCUCUGUCACUGUCUCUCUCUCUCUCUCUGGCACUCUCUCGUCCUCUCAGGCCUCCCUUUCAGGUCCCAGACUCCCGGCCGCGCGCCCACUUGCGCCCAACCAGCCCCGGAGACACCCAGGCCUGUCCCACGCCGUCGGUAGGUCCCCGGUCCGGGAGCGGGAGAGACCGGAGCGCCGGGGACGACCCCGGCAAGGGCGUGGCGUAUGCAGAUGAGCACGGCGCGCGGAGGCUGCCGGUCACGCUCGGCCUGGGACCCCAUGUCCCGCGCGCGAUAUCCGAGUGCUGUCGGGGUGUCUUCCCCUAGCGGCAACGGUGGAGCGAGGGGGCUGGAGAGGGUGAGGGGGCUGGGGCCGCACGAGAGAAGUGACCGUGUGUUGAGAGUGUGGUGGGCGCGAGGGUAUGAGAGGAAGCCGCACGGCCAGUCCAUACUUACCUGGCAGGGGAGAUACCAUGAUCACGAAGGUGGUUUUCCCAGGGCGAGGCUUAUCCAUUGCACUCCGGAUGUGCUGACCCCUGCGAUUUCCCCAAAUGUGGGAAACUCGACUGCAUAAUUUGUGGUAGUGGGGGACUGCGUUCGCGCUUUCCCCUGCCUUACUGGAAGUUGAAAGGUAGCUGUUAUUAUGAUCGGCGCUGGGUCUGGAUGUGUGGUGUUCAAAACACGGGCUGCUGGGCAGUUCGCUUUCGUUUUCACGUUUUUGUGGGGGUAGGGCGAUUGCUGCUUUUUUCUCACCCCGCGGGGGAUCCUUUAGUAACGCGCCAAUUAUACUGUGGGUUUAUGUUCUCCAGGGUAUUGUCGUGAAAACGUCACGAUCUCGUGCUUUCUCCAGGCCAAAGCCGCGUUUUUCCUGCAAGUUUGGGGUGUGUAGAGGAAAAAGCCAGAACUGCUUUCUCUUCCCUGGGGAAAAUAUCCCAGGGUCUUGGUAACCGCUGGCAGAAACGACAGAAUACGUACGGGGCGGGCAAUUAAUCCUGGUCCAGGGAAGUAUCCGGCUUAGAGGUUUAGGAAGGACCUGUCGGGGUUGAGUUCCCCACCCAGGGGGAGAUCGAGUCCGCGGGAGCUGCUGAUCCCACCCAGGCAGCUGCUGGGCUUGUUGGCAGCAGCGUCUUCUGGAAGGACUAGAACGGAGUCAUCCCACUCCCAGAGAAGCAGGCGUGUCAUGCAUGACAGUGAAGGCCGGACUACAAGGCCCUCAAGAACAGGAGACUUUGGGUCCUCGCUAACGGCCUUGGGAGACCACGCAAGACUGGUCAGAAAAGCCAGGUAGAAAGGCUUUUCAUGGGCCGCGCGCGGUGGCUCACGCCUGUAAUCCCAGCACUUUGAGAGGGCGAGGCGAGCGGAUCACUUGAGGUCAGGAAGUUCGAGACCAACCUGGGCAACAUGGUGAAACCCCCGUCUCUACUAAAAAUACAAAAAUUAGCCAGGCGGCGUGGCGCGUGCCUGUAAUUCCACCUGCUCCAGAGGCUGAGCCAUGAGAAUUGCUUGAACCCGGGAGGCGGAGGUUGCGGUGAGCCGAGAUCGCGCCAUUGCACUCCAGCCUGGGCAACAGAGCAAGACUCCGUCUCAAAAAAAAAAAAAAAAGAAAGAAAGAAAGAAGGAAAGAAAAAGGCUUUUCAUGAAUGCUUUUAGGAGAGUCUCGUGACAGCCUCUGUACAUGUCCCCAGGAGGAAACAAGAGACUCUGAUGUUCAGGGCCACCAUCCUGACAUGGACCUUUCCUCCAGUUAUAAUGUUGCCAUUUUGCUGUCUUAAGACCCUUAUGUCCAAGCCUUCCCAGACCUCAGCACCCCCGGGAUAUGUGUAAUAGAAGGGUAAAUACACGCCAGGCGCGGUGGCUCACGCCUGUAAUCCCAGCGCCUUGGGAGGCCGAGGUGGGCGGAUCACCUGAGGUCAGGAGUUUGAGACCAGCUUGACCAACGUGGCGAAAUCCUGUCUCUACUAAAAAUACAAAAAUUAGCCGGGCAUGGUGGUGUGUGUCUGUAAUCCCAGCUACUCGGGAGGCUGAGGCAGGAGAAUCGCUUGAACCCAGGAGGCGGAGAGGUUGCAGUGAGCUGAGAUCAUGCCACUUGUACCACUCCAGCCAGCCUGGGCAACAGAGCGAGACUCUGUCUCAAAAAAAAAAAAAAAAAGUAAAUAAUACAAAACUGGUAGAAGGAAAGAAAAAUGUUGGCCAGGCACGGUGGCUCACGCCUGUAAUCCUAGCGCUUUGGGAGGCUGAGGCGAGAGGAUCACUUGAGCCCAGGAGUUGGAGACCAGCUUGGGCAACACAGCAAGAGACCUCGUCUCUAAAUUAAAACAAAACAAACCAAAACAAAACAGAAGGCAGGAGGAGGCUGCAGUGAGCGGUGAUGGCGCCACUGCACUCCCACCCGAGUGACAAGAGCCUGCCUCAAAAAAGAAAAAACAAAAACAUGUGCCCCUGGUGCCAUAAGGAAAAGAGACUUUCCCCUUCCUUUGAGGCGUGAGUCUCUGCUUUUUGAGACAGGGUCUCUCUCUGUCACCCAGGCUGGGGUGCAGUGGCGUUAUCCUAGCUUACUCACUGCAGCCUCGAACUCCUGGGUUCAAGCGGUCCUCCGGCCUCAGCCUUCCUCCUUAGCUGGAACCACAGGUUUGCGUUACCACACAUGGCUAACUGGCUAAUUUUAUUUUAUUUAUUUUUUUUUUUUUGUAGAGACGGUGUCUUCCUAUGUUGCCCAGGCUGGGCUUGAACUCCUGGGCUCAAGCGAUCCUUCUGCCUCGGCCCCCCAAAAUGCUGAAAUUACGGGUGUCAGCCACCACGCCUGGCCUACGUGAGUCAUAUUAACAGCUAAAUAAGCCUCUUGCCAGUUUUACAACCUAGGAAGGUUUUCCCUUGAGGGCCUUGAAGCCACCAACUCAAAAGGAUCAACACACCCAGCUAAAACAGCUCAACUUCCUCAUCACACAACACAGUUCUGGCCAGUUAGACACACGUCCCCGGAAAGGGCAUCUCCAGGAGAAUAAAAAGGCCAAGCCACUUUUUGAAGAAAGUCUUUGUCCCUACCCCCUUUUUCUACCUGGAAGUCAGACUCAGGCCUGGAGUGUAGCGGCCGCCUUGGUACCUGGAAGCAACAAUCAUGGCCGGGAGACCUUACACCUGGCAUGGUAGAGCAGACGGAGGAGGGGCCGCCUGGUGAAUAGCCUGGCCAACAGCCCCAAACUGCUACCCCUUAAAUUCUGGGUAGGUGAGAAAAAUAAGUCCUGUCUAAGCUGCUCAUUGUUUUAGUUACCUGUAGCCAAAGUUAAAUCCUGCCUAAAAGGGUUCUCCCCUCAUUUUUAUAUUACAUGCCAUUUUUUAUUUUAUUUUAUUUUAUUUUAUUUUAUUUUAUUUUAUUUAUUUAGAGACAGAGUUUCGCUCUUGUUGCCCAGCCUGGAAUGCAAUGGCGCGAUCUUGGCUCACUACAGCCUCUGCCUCCCAGGUUCAAGUGAUUCUCCUGCCUCAGCCUCCCGAGUAGCUGGGAUUACACGCACCCGCCACCACGCCCAGCUAAUUCUUUUUUUUUUUUUGAGCCGGAGUCUCGCUCUGUCGUCCAGGUUGGAGUGCAGUGGCGCAAUCUCAGCUCACUGCAAGCUCCACCUCCCGGGUUCACGCCAUCC